UACGUAGGCAGCAAGCGUUGUUCGGAGUUACUGGGCGUAAAGGGUGCGUAGGCGGUUGUUUAAGUUUGGUGUGAAAUCUCCCGGCUCAACUGGGAGGGUGCGCCGAAUACUGAAUGACUAGAGUGCGGGAGAGGAGAGUGGAAUUCCUGGUGUAGCGGUGAAAUGCGUAGAUAUCAGGAGGAACACCGGUGGUGUAGACGGCUCUCUGGACCGUAACUGACGCUGAGGCACGAAAGCGUGGGUAGCAAACAGGAUUAGAUC
rnacentral:rRNA from 1 species